rfam:Haloferax sp. SB29 contig_430, whole genome shotgun sequence.
CGAGACCUGGCGGCGUACUCAUAGUACGAUUCCGUAGGUUGGCAUACUGUAUGGGUGGAAGCACGGGGGAGACUUCGUGUGGACCGUACAGCAACGAAAAUCAUGGUCUCAGUAGCAGCGAGAGUCGGGUGUGAACCCCGACGGCCUUACGCGCAAGGGUUCCUCGGCACUGCUAAUCAGCCGAGGGUUAGUCGAUCCUAAGUCUAACCGUAAUUCGAAUUAGAUGAAAGGGAAACUGGUUAAUAUUCCAGUACCUUCUUGCACUCAAAGUCGACGCUUUAGGAAACACCGAGCGGGGCCUUCGCCCCGUCGAAUCACCGAACUUCGUGGAAGCCGUAAUGGCACGAAGCGAAAGAAUGGUGAGAUAGGGAAACUCGGCGGUACCUAGAGCCCGUGAAAAGACGAGCAAGAAGAUCGUACCGAGAUCCGACACAGGUGCGCUGGCAGAGCAAGCCAAGGUCUG